rnacentral:rRNA from 1 species
GGAAGUAAAAAGUCGUAACAAGGUCUCCGUUGGUGAACCAGCGGAGGGAUCAUUAUUAGAAGCCGAAAGGCUACUUAAAACCAUCGCGAACUCGUCCAAGUUGCUUCGGCGGCGCGGCCUCCCUCACGGGGGCGCCGCAGCCCCGCCUCUCCGGAGGUGUGGGGCGCCCGCCGGAGGUACGAAACUCUGUAUUAUAGUGGCAUCUCUGAGUAAAAAACAAAUAAGUUAAAACUUUCAACAACGGAUCUCUUGGUUCUGGCAUCGAUGAAGAACGCAGCGAAAUGCGAUAAGUAAUGUGAAUUGCAGAAUUCAGUGAAUCAUCGAAUCUUUGAACGCACAUUGCGCCCGCUAGUACUCUAGCGGGCAUGCCUGUUCGAGCGUCAUUUCAACCCUCAAGCCCUGCUUGGUGUUGGGGCCCUACGGCUGCCGUAGGCCCUGAAAGGAAGUGGCGGGCUCGCUACAACUCCGAGCGUAGUAAUUCAUUAUCUCGCUAGGGACGUUGCGGCGCGCUCCUGCCGUUAAAGACCAUCUUUAACUCAAGGUUGACCUCGGAUCAGGUAGA